UUAUUUAUUGAGGAAACCUGGUCAACCUCCUGGAGGUCCAUCUGGUGGCGGCCAUUUUAUGACUCUUCUCCACUGGAGUUUUCAACUCUCAGAGUUGUUCGUGUGGAGCCUCUAGGAACUCAGCAACUGCACCUCGGGUUUUCCUACCCUGGUUCUCCUUCAGUGGUGGUUUCUGCUGGAGUCUCUACUGCGAUAAGGAAAUUGGGUCACAACAACGUUAAAUAUCCUGAAUGUGAAGCAGCCAGAGGUGCUGAGAGCCAGUGUUGAACCAAGUUGUGAGGCGCCAGAGAUGUCUUACAGCAUAACUUCCUGACUGACUGCCAGCCUGUCUAUGGAAAGAACACUGAUGGAGACAACCACCUAUGGACAAGGAAGUCUUUCUGGAAAUCCAGGCAUCCAUUGGGGAAGUUUCAGCACAUUGGUAGAAGCAAAAAAAUACAAGAACAAGGCAUGGAAACCAGUAAUGGUUCAUUUUACCCACAUAAGCCAUUUCCUAAACCAGCACGGCUAACCGUUAAGAGAAAAUUUUCAGUCCAUGAUUUCUUCCCUGGGAAAAAGUAAGGUGUGUGAAUAGUACAUAGCUUCUCCAUUGGGGCAAAACAUUGCCUAAGAGUCUCAUUUCUCUUUUGCCCUAUCCAGAAUACUGAGUACUGAACUUCAUGACUGGGAAGCAGUAAGGGGUUAAGAAAAGGACAGCUAGGGGGUGGGGAAAAAAAAGGACAGCUAAGGUAUGGUGGAUGUACUAGAUGGAAGCAGAUUCUACUAAACAUGGUCAGGAAGCGCCCAGUGAGUCUCAGGGGACACCUAGAAUGCAGAUCCCAAAGGGCUCACUGGCACUCCCAGCAGCAGCAAAAGUUUCGCAGAGGGCUGGUGAGUGUGUUCAUGAAGCUAGACCAGAUCUGUGGGCCUGGAAGAGUACCACAAUCUUGAGCAUGGCCACCAUUCUAGGGCAAGCAAAACGAAGACUAUCCACCACAGGCCUGGCUUUAUGGUAUUGAGAAAUAGCUUUAUUAGAGGAUUGAGGGAAGACACAUGACCUUUAAGAAUUCUGUCACACACCCAUACACACAAAAAAUUCUGUCACACAAGGUAGCCAAAAGUAUUCAGCAGGUGUAUCUAUAAGAAAAGCCUAGGAAAGACUCAGAAUCUCUAGCAGGGCUGGCAAGGCAUUUCUCUCACCUAGUUAGUGAGAACUACAAGGGGUGACUGCUUCCUCAGCUGUGAAGUCAGCAGUGCAAGACUUCAAGGAAAAUGUAAAAAAUCAACAAAAAUACGACAACACCAGAAGAACACAAUUUUCCAGGAAUCCACCACAAAGAAAUGAAGAUCAAUGAUGUACCUGAUAAAGAAGUCAAAAUAGCUGUUUUAAGGAAUCUCAAUGAGCUACAAGAAUUUUUCUUAGUUUCUGUAACUAAUUUACAUAACUACCAAUAAGUAAAACCUGCAUAGUGAUUUAUGGAAGAAAAAUGUGUAAAAUCAUUGUCCGUAUACAUACUUGUUCACUUCACAAAUGAGGUUUCCCUUUUCCUGGAGCUUUCAACGUAGCUAAUUCAUGUGCAGUGUGAUCAUGAUUGGUUUUGUUUUGUUCUUUUGUCUUUGAUUAAUGAAUAUUAGGCAAGCAUUCCUUCUGUUUUAAGAAAGUUUUCAUUUGAAGUUAAACAUAUGGCAAAUCUUUGUAAAACUCCUCUACCAUGGAGCCAAGGAACAUUAGCAAACAACACAGGAUCAUUAAAUUCUCUGUAUUCUAAACUUAGUGAAGAGUCAGAGAAUAUGCACAUAUAUACUACAAGAUGUUAACAGCUGUAUCCAUGAUAUUUUUAGCACAUUGUUUCAAAAAACUUUGUACAGAUAUUUUCCAUAUGUAUUGUACAAUGGAAUGAAGCAACAAAGAAGAGUCUCUUGCUUAAAAAUGUCAGUAAGUUUGAAUUUUUUUUUAAAGAUUUUACUUAUUUAUUUG